rnacentral:rRNA from 1 species
GAUGAACGCUAGCGGCAGGCCUAACACAUGCAAGUCGAGGGGCAGCACAGGUAGCAAUACUGGGUGGCGACCGGCGGAUGGGUGCGUAACGCGUAUGCAACCUACCAUUGAUUGGGGCAUAGCCCGAAGAAAUUCGGAUUAAUACUCCAUAAUAUUCAUCAAAGGCAUCUUUUAUGAAUUAAAGCUUUUGCGAUCAAUGAUGGGCAUGCGUGACAUUAGUUAGUUGGUGAGGUAACGGCUCACCAAAACGAUGAUGUCUAGGGGUUCUGAGAGGAUUAUCCCCCACACUGGUACUGAGACACGGACCAGACUCCUACGGGAGGCAGCAGUGAGGAAUAUUGGUCAAUGGACGCAAGUCUGAACCAGCCAUGCCGCGUGCAGGAUGACGGCCCUAUGGGGUUGUAAACUGCUUUUCCACGGGAAGAACCCUCCGACGUGUCGGAGACUGACGGUACCGUGGGAAUAAGCAUCGGCUAACUCCGUG